rnacentral:rRNA from 2 species
UGCAUCAUGAUUUACAUUUGAGUGAGUGGCGAACUGGUGAGUAACACGUGGGAAACCUGCCCAGAAGCGGGGGAUAACACCUGGAAACAGAUGCUAAUACCGCAUAACAACUUGGACCGCAUGGUCCGAGCUUGAAAGAUGGCUUCGGCUAUCACUUUUGGAUGGUCCCGCGGCGUAUUAGCUAGAUGGUGGGGUAACGGCUCACCAUGGCAAUGAUACGUAGCCGACCUGAGAGGGUAAUCGGCCACAUUGGGACUGAGACACGGCCCAAACUCCUACGGGAGGCAGCAGUAGGGAAUCUUCCACAAUGGACGAAAGUCUGAUGGAGCAACGCCGCGUGAGUGAAGAAGGGUUUCGGCUCGUAAAACUCUGUUGUUAAAGAAGAACAUAUCUGAGAGUAACUGUUCAGGUAUUGACGGUAUUUAACCAGAAAGCCACGGCUAACUACGUGCCAGCAGCCGCGGUAAUACGUAGGUGGCAAGCGUUGUCCGGAUUUAUUGGGCGUAAAGCGAGCGCAGGCGGUUUUUUAAGUCUGAUGUGAAAGCCUUCGGCUCAACCGAAGAAGUGCAUCGGAAACUGGGAAACUUGAGUGCAGAAGAGGACAGUGGAACUCCAUGUGUAGCGGUGAAAUGCGUAGAUAUAUGGAAGAACACCAGUGGCGAAGGCGGCUGUCUGGUCUGUAACUGACGCUGAGGCUCGAAAGUAUGGGUAGCAAACAGGAUUAGAUACCCUGGUAGUCCAUACCGUAAACGAUGAAUGCUAAGUGUUGGAGGGUUUCCGCCCUUCAGUGCUGCAGCUAACGCAUUAAGCAUUCCGCCUGGGGAGUACGGCCGCAAGGCUGAAACUCAAAGGAAUUGACGGGGGCCCGCACAAGCGGUGGAGCAUGUGGUUUAAUUCGAAGCUACGCGAAGAACCUUACCAGGUCUUGACAUACUAUGCAAAUCUAAGAGAUUAGACGUUCCCUUCGGGGACAUGGAUACAGGUGGUGCAUGGUUGUCGUCAGCUCGUGUCGUGAGAUGUUGGGUUAAGUCCCGCAACGAGCGCAACCCUUAUUAUCAGUUGCCAGCAUUAAGUUGGGCACUCUGGUGAGACUGCCGGUGACAAACCGGAGGAAGGUGGGGAUGACGUCAAAUCAUCAUGCCCCUUAUGACCUGGGCUACACACGUGCUACAAUGGAUGGUACAACGAGUUGCGAACUCGCGAGAGUAAGCUAAUCUCUUAAAGCCAUUCUCAGUUCGGAUUGUAGGCUGCAACUCGCCUACAUGAAGUCGGAAUCGCUAGUAAUCGCGGAUCAGCAUGCCGCGGUGAAUACGUUCCCGGGCCUUGUACACACCGCCCGUCACACCAUGA